GAAAUGCAAUGCAUGAUGAAUUGUUAAAAGAACAUCUAAAGCAUAUCGAAUCAAACUAAAGACUCUUGAACUCAUAGGUGGCGAUUUACACUUCCCGGUUUACUCUAAUCGAUGUAUAAUGGUAUUUCCAAUUAGCUUCCACACGAUUUAUCUUCAUCUGUUUCUGGGAAUCUGCAUUGAACUAGAAUAGACAUAUGUAUGAUCAACCAACUGUCGUCACGUUAAUCAACUAAUCUCUUAAAUCUAGCAAUUAACUCUCGCUCUCAUGCUAAACUUAAGAUUAUGCAUUAGACAUUGAAUUUGUCUGCUCACAUCUUCUCUAUAGGUAGCUUUCGACUCCUAUAGCGACUAUGUUCUUCUGAAGCUAGGUACAGAUGAUCUGAUACAACACUCUCGUGGUUCUGAUCGAUCCUAGGCUCAGAGAAUAGGUCAUGAAUCUACUCUAAUGCUUUAUGAACAACUUAGAAGAGAUGAGAUCCAGAAUAUGGCUAAGAACAAUAGAAAUCCUAAUCGAUAUAUAUAUAUGCUUGUCGAUAUCUUCAAACAACUUGACUCUCUGGGACUAAUCUACAUGAUGCAAUGAAUGAUAAAAAACAUAGAAGAAUGUAAAAGAAUGAAACAGAAAAGUUAAUAAGAUAAGAAGGAGAAAAAAAAAUGGAUCUGGGGAAGAACCCCCAUCUCCAUCGCCUAACCCUAGAAAAACAGAGUUUGGUGGCUCAAAAUCUCAUUACAGGAGCACACACCCGUUUAGGACUGCUAAACAAUGUAUUUAUAGGUCCUAAGGUUUUCCCGGUCUCAUUUAGGGUUUCUCUGAAGAGAAAUGGCAAAUUUGACUUUGAUGUUGGGCCUUGUGGCUCGUCCUAAGGUCCACCAGGGGUGAGAGUCUUCCAGGGCAGGUAAAACAUGUGUUUACCGCGGGUGAGAGUCUUCCGGGACUGGUGAACUGGGUCAACUUGUUCUCCAGGUAUCUUUUGAUUGCACCGUUGGAUCUUGUGAUGCUAUGGAAAGCUGGUUGUCUCCUCUUGAUUGUCCCAAAAUUUGAUCUGGAUCAGACGGUGAGAAAGUCUUCAUUUGAGGCUGAACUUCUGACAGUUUGACUAUGAGCUAAAAAUGUGGAUUUCUUCAAUUUUGCUAUCAUUUUCACUAAGUUUCCUGAAAAGAGCCUUGAAACUACAAAUACAUGGAAAUCAUAAUAAAAGUUCCUAAAACUAAGUAAAACCUUUGAAAAAGCAUUUGAAAUCAAUGGUGAAAAGUGGUCAAAAUCAGGUAUUAUCAACUCCCCUAGACUUAAGACUUUGUUUGUCCUCAAACAAAACAAGAUCAAAUCUGAAAAAAUAUCAUUCAACAGAAAUAAGAGGGAACUCAAAAAUAUCAGCAACCAUACUUCUAGACCUUAAUUAUGGACAAUGCAUCAAUCAGAUCAAGUCUAGAAAAUUCUCACCAAAAUAUAAACAUAACUAGUCCGUUAAUCUGUCAUGCGAAAAUCCACACACUUAGAACUAACUUCCACUCAACUAGCUCUUAACAUUAGUUAAAGGUUUCAGUGGUUCUCAUCAAAAGGAUAUUAAAUAAGGCAUUCAAGGUUAGGUAUCAAAAAGGCUUGUUAAUGGUAAGACUGAUGUGUUUAGGGUUACCUUUUUCUGGAGAGACAGGACAUUAUGAAAAACAACAAGAGAGGAUGGAACUGCAAAUGCCCCCACAGUUUCAGUCACAUUCUUCUUGCUUCAAGAUUUCUGAUCUCUUUUCUUCAGGUUCUCCUUAUAAUUCCCCCAGACUUGGAUUUUUGUCCAGGUAGUAAUCCAUAACUCCUUAAGUGAAUACCUAUUGCCUUGGCUCAAGUAAUUUCGGUUUCUAAGACUCUUUAGGCUCUUGGUUUUCUUUCUUUUUUUCUUUUCUCCUUUUUCGUUUUUUUUUUUUAGAAUGGGGAAACUGCCUUUUGAAUUGGAGUCUUUGGGAGCACGGAAAUUACCUUUAAGAAUGAGAUUUUCUAAGGCAUCAUACGAUUUCUGACACACUCCCUUCUGGUCUCUUUCAGUCUUUCUCUGGAGUGACUGAAAACUAUGUUAUUCCUCCUUCUCCGGCGUUUUUGCACAUAUCUGUCGAUAUAAACUUAAAGAGAGAAUGGAUGUGGUUUGAACAUGAAGGUUUGGGUUAAGGGUGUGGUACCAGCUAAAGAUGAACUAGCCAUCUAGGACAACAAAAAGUGGUAACAAUAAGGUAAAGAUGUUCUAGAUGUAUAUCAUGAUGCUUUUUUAAAACCAUUGAUGAGAAAAUUAGAUAUCAAGAUUAAGUCCAAGUAGAAUGAGCUAGUAUAUCCUGUCAGAAAAGAUCUUCAUGAAUAAAAGUCUUAUGGUGGGAUUUCGUAGUGUAAGUACUCUAGCUACCGCCUAGUCUAGUACUAAACCUUGAAAGAGCUUUAAUGAGUGAUUGGUGUAGAAGCAAACUGGUUGGUUAUCAUCAUCGAUUUUGUCAUUAUUCCCUCAAAAUGUAUUUGACCUUUGAAAACACUUUUAGAAACACAAAAGAGUUUUGAAAAGUUUUAAUAAAAAUCGAAAAAAUUGAAAAAAAUUUAAAGAAAAUGCAGAAUGCAAAGGCUCAUGUAAGAAAAGGUGGUUAGAAAGGGAUGAAAUCCUCCCCCAUACUUAAAUCACACUGCCUCCAGUGUGAAAUAAAUCAGGCAAGGAUGAGAAAUAGAGUAUGUAAAAAUUAAAAAAUAUUAAGAAAAAGAAAACUUACCUGGUGUUGGUGAUUGGUUGUGAGGUGGUUGUGGUUGUGAUCCUUGAUCAAACUUGGAUGCUAGGGAUCCAACACAGAUUUGGUCAAGGUGGUGGUGGAAGUGGCCAAGGAUGAAAUGGUAGUGGCCAAAGGUGAAAUGGAAGUGGCCAAGGUGGAAUAGAGGUGGCCAAGGUGGCCGGCUGUGCUGGCCGCGGGUCGGAACAUCGCGGCCGCGGUAGGACGCGUGCCGGCCGCGGUAGGACGCGUGCCGGCCGCGGUAGGACGCGUGCCGGCCGCGGUAGGACGCGUGCCGGCCGCGGUAGGACGCGUGCCGGCCGCGGGCCAGAUCUUUUUGGCCGCGGUAAAACAGUUGCUGGCCGUGGCUGAACCUCAUUUGGUCGCGGUCAGCCCCUUUUAUUCCCCUCUUUUUUUUGUGGCAUACUAAGGCUUGUCUAAAAUAAAAGAAACAAAACUUUAAUAGAAAAAGAAAGCUAAAUAAAAACAAAUAAGUACCUAAAAUGGGUUGCCUCCCAUUAAGCGCUUUGGAUUAUAGUCCUUAGCUAGACUUUGCAAAAAAAAAGACUUAGUUCAAAUAGGAUCUUGUCCUAAGACAAGUCCUCUUCGAAAUCCUCAUGUUCUGUCUUGCAAUCACUCCAGAGUUCUUCUGGUUCAAAUGCCUGGGCUUUAUGUUCUCCUCUUUUUCUCUUAAGUGGUGUAGCUUCAUAGAAGAUGUCCUUAUCGAUAUUGGCAAAAGAAACUCGCCUGUUGGGCCAAUCCAUGAUGGCUCCAACAGUUGCUAAGAAAGGCCAUCCAAGAAUAACUGGAUAAGAGUCAUCUUUGGUUUUCACUAUGUAUAGAUCGACAGGUGCAAUGCAAUCUCCAAUCCUUAGAGGAUUGUCUCGGGCUAUCCCUCUUAGUGUUGCACUUGAAUCAUCUGCUAAGCUAAUCUUUGUCCUAGUGCUUGAGAUGUGCUUAAUGCCAAAUCUCAAAGCAGUUGCUUUGGACAUCAUGUUAAUGCAAGCUCUAGAAUCACAAAGAAUAUUGAGGAAUCUUUCAAAACUCUAAUGUCACAAGAGAUAAAAAAUUGACCUUUAUCUUGAACUUUGUGCAGAGUUUGAACUGGUCUACCUUCUUAGGCGUGUGUGAACAAGUCUUUCAUCUCUUAGAUUGAUUAUUCUCUGUCACAAAAGAAGUGGCCUAUCAUGUGGUCUCUACAUGCUUUGGCAAACGAAAUUCCUUCUGGCAGGCUCUGAACUACUUGAUUGAACUCUUCAAGUGCUUCUUUGCUGAUCUUGUUUGUGUUGUCACUGGCUUCUUGGAGAUCUUUGAGAUGGAUCCUGUAAACAGCUGCAUCAGGUGAUGAUCUAGGAAAAGAUAGAUAUCUGGCUCUUCUGAAAUAUGUAGAGAUGUCCUCCUUAGUCUCCUUGCUAUAAUCUGAAGAAGACUUGAAGGCAACCUUGCUUCCAGACGUCAUCGAACCCGAGAUAGAGAGGAAUGGACUUCACAAACUUGUUGAAUUCGAUCAGCCUCUCUCUAGAUAUGCUCUUGGUUAUUGGUUCUGUGUUGUCAUCAGAUGAAUCGCACCCAGGGUUUGGAUCUUUUACAAACAAACCAUACUCUUCAUCUUCUGAGAAUUUCUCUUGAAGCUCAUUGUCACAAGUGUAAACCAUGUUGCAAGAUGCAUAAGUGUUGGAUUCCUCCUUUUCUUUUGAUGCUUGUGCAAUGAUUGAGAAGACAGCUUGAUCAAACAACCUAGGUCUGGUCACAUGAGGUCGGUAUUCUGAUGAACAGGCUUCAGAAAGAGGUUGAAAGCUCUCCCAAUCUGAGAAGUCGUGCUCCACCGCGGGUGAGGAGCUCGGAGCCGUGGUGGAAGUGACUCUGGCCGCGGGUGAGGUGCUCGCAGCCGCGGUCAGCUUCCUCCGGCUCUCCAUGCUUGCUUCUUCAAUCUCUUCUUCUCCAUUGUUGUUCUCUUGCUUCCAGUGGUUGUCAGGCACGUCUUGGGUAUCCAAAUCAUUGAUUCCAGAGUUCAGAUCAUACUCCUUAUGAUCUUUAGAAAGUUUUUCAACUUUCUCUUCUACUUCAUCUAAAGCAUAGACAACUUUGUCUAAAGUAACAUCAAGCUCUUCUGUCUUGUUUGUGAUCUUUUCCAUCUCUUCACUCAUCUCUAUCUUGUCUCCAUCAGAGUACCACUUGCUAUCUUUGAAAUCUCUCUCCAAAUCUUCAAUCAGGACAUUGCAGCCUCUCUAUUCCUUAAGUGCUUGACGAAUGGCAAUGGUGUUCUUAGCCUCACCUUCUUCGAUAGCUUCAACCUUCUUUGAUCUAGUUGAAGCCUAAAUUGAUCAGCCUCAGCGUUUUGGUGCAGAAUCUGAUGAGGAAGAGAAUGAGAUGGUCGACGGUUCACCAGGUGUGGCGAAUAGGGCUCAUCUCGGUAGUGUGGAGGUCGCGAGUCUCCAUGGUGGUGGUUCGGAUUAGGGUUCCGAAGAUGAUGACAAAAUUCACGCCCGAAGGGUGAUUCACAUGCGCAGGGAGCUUCACACAGGUCGCAGGACCUUUGCACGGGGUUAGGGUUUCUCCUUGAAUGAUCCAUGCUUCAAAGGUUUCUGAAACUAGGGCAAACAGAAGAGAUAAUAAGCAGAAAAAGAAAAAGUUAGGGUGUUUAUGGAUUUGGUUUACUUCCUAUGUUGCUUUGGCACAAACUCGACAUAUAUAUAGUCUUCUGCGGCUUCAACCUCCCAGGUUUAGACCUCCAGAGACUAAAAUCCUCCCCGGCAACGGCGCCAAAAACUUGAUGGGCUUGCGGGCCUAGGGUUGUUUUUUAACAAGCCCGUUGGUCCUCCAAAAUUUUUAAAUUUAUAAAACUCUAGUGUCUGCAAGUGCACAGAUAUACGUUGUAGGACUUAGGGUGUCGAUCCACAGGGAGGAUGUCUAAUCUGCGAGAAACAACAAAUUGGGAAGUAAGCAAACUCAUAAACCAAUAAAAGUUUUGGGGUUUUUGGUUAAGAUCCUAAACUAAACCUAAUCUAAUAUUCACAAGAAAUGCAAUGCAUGAUGAAUUGUUAAAAGAACAUCUAAAGCAUAUCGAAUCAAACUAAAAACUCUUGAACUCAUAGGUGGCGAUUUACACUUCCCGGUUUACUCUAAUCGAUGUAUGAUGGUAUUUCCAAUUAGCUUCCGGGCGACUUAUCUUCAUCUGUUUCUGGGAAUCUGCAUUGAACUAGAAUAGACAUAUGUAUGAUCAACUAACUGUUGUCACCUUAAUCAACUAAUCUCUUAGAUCUAGCAAUUAACUCUCGCUCUCAUGCUAAACUUAAGAUCAUGCAUUAGACAUUGAUUUUUUCUGCUCACAUCUUCUCUAUAGGUAGCUUUCGACUCCUAUAGCGACUAUGUUCUUCUGAACCUAGGUACGGAAUCUGAUACAGCACUCUCGUGGUUCUGAUCGAUCCUAGGCUCAGAGAAUAGGUCACGAAUCUACUCUCAUGCUUUAUGAACAACUUAGAAGAGAUGAGAUCCAGAAUAUGGCUAAGAACAAUAGUAAUCCUAAUCGAUAUAUAUGCUUGUCGAUAUCUUCAAACAACUUGACUCUCUAGGACUAAUCUACAUGAUGCAAUGAAUGAUAAAAGACAUAGAAGAAUGCAAAAGAAUGAAACAGAAAAGUUAAUAAGAUAAAAAGGAGAAAAAACAAUGGAUCUGGGGAAGAACCCCCAUCUCCAUUGCCUAACCCUAGAAAAACAGAGUUUGGUGGCUCAAAAUCUCAUUGCAGGAGCACACACCCAUUUAGAACUGCUAAACAAAGUAUUUAUAGGUCUUAAGGUCUUCUAGGUCUCAUUUAAGGCUUCUCUGAAGAGAAAUAGCGAAGUGGGCUUUGAUGUUGAGGCUUGUGGCUCGUCCUAAGGUCCACCGGGGUGAGAGUCUUCCAGGACAGGUAAAACAUGUGUUUACUGCGGGUGAGAGUAUUCCGGGACUGGUGAACUGGGUCAACUUGUUCUCCAUGUAUCUUUUGAUUUCACCGUUGGAUCGUUGUGAUGUAAAGUGUUAUGGAAAGCUGGUUGUCUCCUCUUGAUUGUCUCCAAAUUUGAGCUGGAUCAGACGGUGAGAAAGUCUUCAUUUGAGGCUGAACUUCUGACGGUCUGACACUGAGCUAAAAAUGUGGAUUUUUUCCAUUUUGCCAUUAUUUUCCUUAAAUUUCCUGAAAAAAGUCUUGAAACUACAAAUACAUGAAAAUCAUAAUCAAAGUUCCUAAAACUAAGUAAAACCUUUGAAAAAGCAUUCGAAAUCAAUCGUGAAAAGUGGUCAAC
rnacentral:lncRNA from 1 species